AUGGAAGAAGAGAGGACUUUUACUCAAAUUUCAGAGCAUCUUGUCAAUUACCAGGAGAGAGAUUGAAACUACAUUUUCCUUUUUGACGUUAAAAAGAAUGUUUUUAAGAAACUCACAACUGUUAUUUCCUUUUCAGCUUAUAAUUUCCUUGUGAAACCCUUGACAAAUAUUUAUACAAGAAGGCUGCCAUGAAGACCAAGAUCUAAGCAAAUGCAUUUUGCUGGCAUCUAAAACGGUGGAAACAGAAUGUCAGAGAGGUACAAAAUUAUUAUUAAGCAAACAGUACAGCAAAGUCCACAAGAGUGGAAGCACUGGAAUCAAUGACAAGAGGGUUAGAGUUAUAGCUCCGGUUAAGACCCUAGACCAGUUAUUAACCUCUUCAGAUCUGGUUUUCCUUUUCUAUAAAGUGAGUCUUAUAAUAACAGGGGGAGAUACCUCAAGAGAUGGUUUUUAAAUAUUCUGUGAAAUAACAAAGAGCCUGGCACUGUGAAAGGACUCAGUAAACAUUACCUACUAUUAUUAAUUUAUAGGAUUUUUGACGGCUCUAGGUAUAUAUUGGUUUGUUAUUUGAAAAUUUCCAUUUUUAGCAUGUCACACUACUGAAUGAUAUUUAAAAUUAAAAAUUACUUUAUUUGGAGGAUUCUCUUAAGAAUCAAAGUAGACUCAAAUCUGGGAAGAACGUCUUUAAAAGUAGAGAUGUAAGUCAGAAUAUUAUGAUUAUAUAAACUUGAAUUUAUAAACAUUAAACUUUAAUAAUUUGGUUUUAUAUGUGAGAGAAAUAAUCUAUAAACAAAAUUUAAAAUUAAGUAGAAUUUUCUUUUCAUAGUUGGCAUGGGAUUCACAUUUUUGAACUGUGCUGUAGCUACAAUGGUGUAUGAAAUACUGUCUCUAUAUUUAAGAAAUUUACGGUCCAGUGGAAUAUCUAGUGACCAAAAUUAUGAUGUAAGAGCAGUGGGGGAAAUAUUAAUUCCAUGAAAAUAAUUCGAGAGAGUAAAGCCAGGCAUUUAAUUUGUGUUGUGGACUACUGAGAAUGCCAUGCUUUUUCAAACCUUUUAAAGUUCUGCAUCCGUCACGUAUGCCUGUGUGUGUGUAUAUGUGUGUUCAUGA
rnacentral:lncRNA from 1 species